rnacentral:rRNA from 1 species
AGCUUGCUGCUUCGCUGACGAGUGGCGGACGGGUGAGUAAUGUCUGGGAAACUGCCUGAUGGAGGGGGAUAACUACUGGAAACGGUAGCUAAUACCGCAUAACGUCGCAAGACCAAAGAGGGGGACCUUCGGGCCUCUUGCCAUCGGAUGUGCCCAGAUGGGAUUAGCUAGUAGGUGGGGUAACGGCUCACCUAGGCGACGAUCCCUAGCUGGUCUGAGAGGAUGACCAGCCACACUGGAACUGAGACACGGUCCAGACUCCUACGGGAGGCAGCAGUGGGGAAUAUUGCACAAUGGGCGCAAGCCUGAUGCAGCCAUGCCGCGUGUAUGAAGAAGGCCUUCGGGUUGUAAAGUACUUUCAGCGGGGAGGAAGGGAGUAAAGUUAAUACCUUUGCUCAUUGACGUUACCCGCAGAAGAAGCACCGGCUAACUCCGUGCCAGCAGCCGCGGUAAUACGGAGGGUGCAAGCGUUAAUCGGAAUUACUGGGCGUAAAGCGCACGCAGGCGGUUUGUUAAGUCAGAUGUGAAAUCCCCGGGCUCAACCUGGGAACUGCAUCUGAUACUGGCAAGCUUGAGUCUCGUAGAGGGGGGUAGAAUUCCAGGUGUAGCGGUGAAAUGCGUAGAGAUCUGGAGGAAAUAC